ensembl:lncRNA
AUCUGAAAAACAGCAUCUGGAAAAGCAAAAACAACCCCAGUUCCCCAGGACUCCUGCUGACACUUCCAGUCGUCCUCAGAAAAGCCAUUGAGCUACCCUUGGGUUGAAUGAAUGAGAACUUUCUGGAGAGCGGAAGACUGGUGGAGGUCCAGCUGGAAAAACAUAUGGCCGCAGAGGCAGAAAGAGCGCUUCUUCAGGAUUGUGAGUGGUAUAAAAAACGUCUGCAGGCUCAAGGCAGCCGUUACAACCUAAGAUCUUACUAAGCAUGAUGGAUGUUCUUAUUUCUAGGACUGCCUCCAAUGUACCUGGACCGAAGCCAGUGCUGCAUCCUCAGGCGCCCCUAGGGAUUGUGCGUGCAGGACGGCACCACCUCACAGCCCCGCUCUGAGGUCCGGAUUCCACGCCCACUACCCACCGCCUCCCACUCUCCCACUCCCCUACCCUCACUGGGGCCAGGAGAUGGCGGCCCAUUGUGCCUUCUGAAAGAAAACAAAGUUUGCAAAUCACUGUAGACUGUCUUAUAAUAGGUAGGUCAGGAGGGAAAAUGACUAUGGUAAAUUCUCGUCUUAACCACACAUGACCUCAGCACAUUUUUGAGCUGCACAGUGACACAGAAUGAACUGAAGGAGAAAAACCAGGCAGUCUGGGUUCCAGACCAGGACACCACGAGGAGCUGACUUUUACAGCCCACCAGGCUCUUCCGUCUAUGGAAUUCUCCAGGCAAGAAUACUGGAGUGGGUUGCCAUUCCCUUCUCCAGGGGAAUCUUCCCAACCCAGGGAUUGAUUGCAGACAGAUUCUCUACCAUCUGAACCACCAGGGAAGCCAAAAAAAAAAAAAAAUAUGGGAGCUGUUGCUGCUCUUCCUGGAAUCUCUGCUGCUGCUGCUGCUGCUGCUGCUGCUGCUGCUGCUGCUAACUUGCUUCAGUCGUGUCCGACUCUGUGCGACCCCAUGGACUGCAGCCACCCAAGCUCCUCCGUCCAUGGAAUCUCUGCUACAGGGACAUAAACUCUUUAAGAUUGCCUGACUUAUCAUCCAUCCUUUUCUUCAUUUGAGACUUGAAAUUCGAACUGUGGUGCUGGAGAAGACUCUUGAGAGUCCCUGGGACAGCAAGAUCAAACCAGUCAGUCCUAAAGGAAAUCAACCCUGAAUAUUCAUUGGAAGGACUGAUGUUGAAGCUGAAGCUCCAGUACACUGGCUACCUGAUGCGAAGAGCAGACUCAUUGAAAAAGACCCUGAUGCUGGGCAAGAUUGAAGGCAGGAGGAGAAGUGGGUAACAGAGGAUGAAAUGAUUGGAUGACAUCACUGACUCAACAGACAUGAGUUUGAGCAAACUCCGGAAGAUAGUGAAGGACAGGAAAGCUUGGUGUGCUGCAGUUCAUUGGGUCACAAAGAAUCAGAUACGACUGAGUGACUGAACAAUAACAAUAGUUAAACUGAAUCUCCCAAAUAAAUAAAUAAAUAGAACCUGUUUCAGGUUUCCAACUUGUGUGUGUGUGUGUGUGUGUGGCAUUUUUAAAGUCUGAAUUUCACUUUAUUUGGAAAAUAGACUUAAGAAUUAAGUCCCCCAAGUAUCAAAACCACACACGAUUUAUCUGAAAACAAUUGCUCUUGGGAUGUGUAAGAUGCCUUUUCACAAGUGAAUCAUAUUAUCUGAGAGGUAGAACCCCAGAAGAUGUAUUUAAAAAAUAAAGUUUCUGUCUCAA